UAGCUAAUUUGUUAUCUAUCAUCAAUCUUACAGGCUUGCUCACGUUGAUCUUCAGAUCCUGCAAUAAGUUCAUCAGCCAAACAGCUUGACACGCAGACAAAGCACCUGUAAUGUACUCAGCUUCAUAGAUUGACAAGGCAACCACAAGUUGCUUUUUGGAGCACCAAAAAAUGAGACUUCCCAGAUACUUGAAGAAAUAUCCAGAAGUACUUCUCCUCUCAACUCUAUCCCCACACUAAUCAGAGUCUGAAUAGCAUAUCAGUUAUGAAUCAGAUUUAGCACCAGAAGGAAAUAAAACUUCAUACCUCAUAGUUCCCUUAAUAUAUCUUAGUAUCAUGAUAGCAGCUUGAUAAUGUGACCACUUUGGUUUGUUCAUAAACCUACUCACCAUUUCAAUUGCAUAACAGAUGUCAGGUCUGGUGUUACAGAGAUAUCUCAAUGAGCCAACCAAAUUUUUAAAAGUUGUAGCAUCUACAUCAUCACCAUCAACAUCAGAAUCCAACUUGUGAUUUGUUUAAGCACGUGUGAUUGCAGACUUGCAAUUUGUUAACUCAAACUCUACAAAUGUUCAAGUUCAUAUUUCAGCUGAUGCAAAAAUACACUCUUCUCAGAGUACAAAAUCUUCAUCCCAAGAAAAUAUACCAUAUUUCCUAAAUCACUCAUCUCAAACUCAUUCCACCUUUUUGAACUUGACUAUCUCAUAUCAACAACUCCCUCUGUUAGCAAUAUGUCACCAACAUAUAGACACACCAGAAUCAUAUUGCUUUCAGAGGUAUGCUAAACAUAAACGCCAUACUCCAUCUCACAUUUUCAGAAUCCUUGAAGCUUGAAAAAUGACUCAAUUUUCAGAUUCCAAGCUAUAGGAGCUUGUUUCAGUCCAUUCAAGACUUUAUGCAACUUAUACAUCAUCCCUUCCUGGUUCUUUUCCACAAAUCUAUGAGAUGCUGGACCAGACCACGCAGUAGUCUACCUUUGUAAUCCAUGUCAUUCUUUAAUCUUCUUUAGAGGUAUGACCACCGUCAGAUGUUGGAUUACCACCAAAGUCUAAAUCAUCAUCAUAAUCUGGAUCAAAAUCAGUUUCACCUUCAGAGUCAGAAUCGCCUUCAGAGUCUCCUUCAGCUUCAGAGUUACCUUCAGACUCAGACUCAUCUUCAGAGGAAAAAUCCCCUUCAGAGGCAGAUUCUCCUUUAGAAGUUAUCUCAGGUAUCAACACUGCACCAUAGUUAGAUUAAGACAUGCUUCAACCCCACACUUGUGUUUCCUUCAUAAUAACAUCUCUGUUGAAUUCAACUUUAUUACUGAUUGGAUAAGAAAACUUAUAAGCACAUGUACUGUGGUGCCCAAUCACCAACAUUAGUUUGCUUCUAUCAUCCCACUUCUUUCUAGUAGCAUCAGUAACAUGUUAGUAACAAACAUAACCAAAUAUUCUGAAAUGACUCACGUUUUCCUUCAACUUAUUGGUUGAACACCUGUUGAGCAUAUAUGUUGCAGUGGCAACAGCUUCACCCUAUAAGGUGUGAGGGAGUUUCUUCUCUUUCAGCAUGCUCCUUGUCAUAUCAGCUUCUUGGUUGGACACCUAUUGAGCAUAUAUGCUGCAGUGGCAACAACUUCACUCCACAAGGUGUGAGGGAGCUUCUUAUCUUUCAGCAUGCUCCUUAUCAUAUCAAGCAAAGUUCUAUUUCUUCUUUCAGCAAGACCAUCGUGUUGAGGAGUGUAUGAAGCAGUAACAUCAUGCUCAAUUCCAUUCUCCUCACAUUACUUCUUGAACUCUGUAGAGUUUUACUAAUCUCCACCAUCAAUUAUGAGAACUUUUGGCUUCUGACCACUAUAUUUUUCAGCCUUCACUUUGAACUUUCGGCUUCUAACCACUUUGAUUUUCAGCCUUCACUGUGUGUUUCUUUCCGCUUUUAUUGCAUCUGUUACAAUUGACACAUAAUUAUCAUUGACGAGAUCAAGAACAUAUUAAGCUCCAAAUAACACACUCAUUUGAAUCAUCCACCGAUUCCUAUUAUUUCCAUCAAAUACUAGAAGCUAUGUGUUCAAGCUACCAUUUCCAUCGUUCAUCUUUGAUCGUGUGCAAAUCACUUAAUUCUCACAAACACUCAUGUUUCCCAAUCCCGCAGAAUCAAGAAAUAUGAUUAUGUUCGAUUUCGGUCGUUAAUUCAACGUGGACUCAAGAAACGAAAUCAAUUACACACCUCACGUACCCUCGUGUUUCCCUUUCCUGAUUCAGAACCAGAGCUUUGGAUACCAAUUGCUGGUUUACAAGGUUGAAGAUGAAGAUGGAAGAAGAGAGAGAGAGAGAGAGAGAGAGAGAGAGAGAGAGAGAGAUAGAGAGAGAGAGAGAGAGAGAGAGAGAGAUAGUAGAUCUGUAACUAAAUUUCAAAAGGGAUAAUUUAGUUACACUCUCAAUAAUGAAAAAUCUGUUACAACAAACUAAACAAACACAA